GGGAUUAUGGCUCAGCCGGUAGAGCGUUGGUCUCAUAUGUUGUUCAUAUGAUCUGCUUAGACAGUAGAGUCAUCCAAAGGUCCUGAGUUCGAGCCUCAGUAGUCCCA